UACGGAGGGGGCUAGCGUUGUUCGGAAUUACUGGGCGUAAAGCGCAAGUAGGCGGCUUUGUAAGUUAGAGGUGAAAGCCCAGGGCUUAACCCUGGAAUUGCCUUUAAGACUGCAUCGCUAGAAUUGUGGAGAGGUAAGUGGAAUUCCGAGUGUAGAGGUGAAAUUCGUAGAUAUUCGGAAGAACACCAGUGGCGAAGGCGACUUACUGGACACAUAUUGACGCUGAGGUGCGAAAGCGUGGGGAGCAAACAGG
rnacentral:rRNA from 1 species